UACAGAGGGGGCAAGCGUUGUUCGGAAUUACUGGGCGUAAAGGGCGCGUAGGCGGCCUUCUAAGUCGAACGUGAAAUCCCUGGGCUCAACCCAGGAACUGCGUCCGAUACUGGAAGGCUUGAAUCCGGGAGAGGGAUGCGGAAUUCCAGGUGUAGCGGUGAAAUGCGUAGAUAUCUGGAGGAACACCGGUGGCGAAGGCGGCAUCCUGGGCCGGUAUUGACGCUGAGGCGCGAAAGCCAGGGGAGCAAACGGG
rnacentral:rRNA from 1 species